GACGAACGCUGGCGGCGUGCUUAACACAUGCAAGUCGAACGGAAAGGCUCCAGCUUGCUGGAGUACUCGAGUGGCGAACGGGUGAGUAACACGUGGGUAAUCUGCCCUUCACUCUGGGAUAACCCUGGGAAACUGGGUCUAAUACCGGAUAUGACCUUCUUCCUCAUGGGGUUUGGUGGAAAGUUUUUCGGUGUAGGAUGAGCCCGCGGCCUAUCAGCUUGUUGGUGGGGUGAUGGCCUACCAAGGCGACGACGGGUAGCCGGCCUGAGAGGGUGAUCGGCCACAUUGGGACUGAGAUACGGCCCAGACUCCUACGGGAGGCAGCAGUGGGGAAUAUUGCACAAUGGGCGGAAGCCUGAUGCAGCGACGCCGCGUGAGGGAUGACGGCCUUCGGGUUGUAAACCGCUUUCAGCAGGGACGAAGCGUAAGUGACGGUACCUGCAGAAGAAGCACCGGCUAACUAUGUG
rnacentral:rRNA from 1 species